UACGUAGGGUGCGAGCGUUAAUCGGAAUUACUGGGCGUAAAGCGUGCGUAGGCGGUUUUGUAAGCCAGAUGUGAAAUCCCCGGGCUUAACCUGGGAACUGCGUUUGAAACUACAAGGCUAGAGUGUGGCAGAGGGGGGUGGAAUUCCACGUGUAGCAGUGAAAUGCGUAGAGAUGUGGAGGAACACCGAUGGCGAAGGCAGCCCCCUGGGUUAACACUGACGCUCAGGCACGAAAGCGUGGGGAGCAAACAGG
rnacentral:rRNA from 1 species